rnacentral:sRNA from 14 species
ACACAGGGAAGGAGGUGGUCCGCGAAUUGAGUACUUCAUGGACAUGUGAGGUGGCUACGCGCUAGCUGCAUUGGCUCGGAAGAGCUGGCGUUACGCGCGCUGGCGAAUCCCCCGUAGCCACCCGGCCCCCGAGCUUUCGGUCUGUCCAACCGGAACUUCGCUCGGGGGCCGCUCCAU